rnacentral:rRNA from 1 species
AGUGAACGCUGGCGGUAGGCCUAACACAUGCAAGUCGAACGGCAGCACAGUAAGAGCUUGCUCUUACGGGUGGCGAGUGGCGGACGGGUGAGGAAUACAUCGGAAUCUACUUUUUCGUGGGGGAUAACGUAGGGAAACUUACGCUAAUACCGCAUACGACCUACGGGUGAAAGCAGGGGAUCUUCGGACCUUGCGCGAUUGAAUGAGCCGAUGUCGGAUUAGCUAGUUGGCGGGGUAAAGGCCCACCAAGGCGACGAUCCGUAGCUGGUCUGAGAGGAUGGACAGCCAGCCUGGAACUGAGACACGGCCGAGACUCUUACAGGAGGACGCAGCGGGGAAUCCUGCACGAUGGGGCAAAGCCUGAUCUAGCAAUACCGCGUAAGUGCAGAAGGAGUUCGGGUUGUAGAACGCUGUAGUUGGGAAAGAAAAGCAGCAGGAUCAUACCCCGCUGUUCUGACGGUACCUAAAGAAUAAGCACCGGCUAACUUCGUG